GAGGGAAAGGCGAAAAGAACCCCGGCGAGGGGAGUGAAAAAGAACCUGAAACCGUGUACGUACAAGCAGUAGGAGCCCCAUCACUCAAGUACCUCGCACUGAGUGAUGCAAUAACAUCACCGAAAAUAGCGCCGAAUUUGCUAACAAGGUUGGUCGAUUUUUUCAAGCCGUCGCGCAGUGUACCUAGAAGUACACGAGCAACGGAAGUUAAAAAAUCGGGCAAGAUUGAACGCAAAGGCAAGCGGGACAUUUGAGGAUGGGGUGACUGCGUACCUUUUGUAUAAUGGGUCAGCGACUUAUAUUCUGUAGCAAGGUUAACCGUAUAGGGGAGCC
rnacentral:rRNA from 1 species